GACGAACGCUGGCGGCGUGCUUAACACAUGCAAGUCGAACGGAAAGGCCCUGCUUGCAGGGUGCUCGAGUGGCGAACGGGUGAGUAACACGUGGGUGAUCUGCCCUGCACUUCGGGAUAAGCCUGGGAAACUGGGUCUAAUACCGGAUAGGAGCCAUUUUUAGUGUGAUGGUUGGAAAGUUUUUUCGGUGUAGGAUGAGCUCGCGGCCUAUCAGCUUGUUGGUGGGGUAAUGGCCUACCAAGGCGGCGACGGGUAGCCGGCCUGAGAGGGUGGACGGCCACAUUGGGACUGAGAUACGGCCCAGACGCCUACGGGAGGCAGCAGUGGGGAAUAUUGCACAAUGGGCGCAAGCCUGAUGCAGCGACGCCGCGUGGGGGAUGACGGCCUUCGGGUUGUAAACUCCUUUCGCUAGGGACGAAGCUUUUUGUGACGGUACCUAGAUAAGAAGCACCGGCUAACUACGUG
rnacentral:rRNA from 1 species